UGUCUAAACGACUCUCGGCAACGGAUAUCUCGGCUCUCGCAUCGAUGAAGAACGUAGCGAAAUGCGAUACUUGGUGUGAAUUGCAGAAUCCCGUGAACCAUCGAGUCUUUGAACGCAAGUUGCGCCCAAAGCCAUUAGGCCGAGGGCACGCCUGCCUGGGCGUCACACG
rnacentral:rRNA from 1 species